rnacentral:misc_RNA from 1 species
ACGGAAGAAGGCGACUAUCAGAUCAAACUGCGUAACCUGAAGCGCUUCCUCGAAGCGGGCAACAAAGCGAAAGUAUCGCUGCGUUUCCGCGGUCGUGAGAUGGCGCACCAGAACCUGGGUAUGGAACUGAUGAUGCGUGUCGAGAAAGAUCUCGAAGAACUCGGCAGCGUAGAACAGCGUCCUAAGAUGGAAGGUCGCCAGAUGAUCAUGGUCAUCGGCCCAUCCAAAAAGAAGUAGUCUGGUUUUCAAAUGAAUACGCAGACCCCGGCGCUUGCCGGGGUUUGUGCGUUCUGCCAGACGCUGCGUCGGCCUGAGUUGGGCA